UACGUAGGGCGCAAGCGUUAUCCGGAAUUAUUGGGCGUAAAGAGCUCGUAGGCGGUUUGUCGCGUCUGCCGUGAAAGUCCGGGCUCAACUCCGGAUCUGCGGUGGGUACGGGCAGACUAGAGUGAUGUAGGGGAGACUGGAAUUCCUGGUGUAGGCGGUAGAAAAUGCGCAGAUAUCAGGAGGAACACCGGUGGCGAAAGGCGGGUCUCCUGGGCCGGAUACUGACGCUGGAGGAGCGGAAAGCGUGGGGAGUGAACAGG
rnacentral:rRNA from 1 species